GACGAACGCUGGCGGCGUGCCUAACACAUGCAAGUCGAACGAGCGAGAGAGAGCUUGCUUUCUUGAGCGAGUGCCGAACGCGUGAGUAACACGUGAGGAUCCUGCCCCUAAGAGGCGGACAACAGUUGGAAACGACUGCUAAUACCGCAUAAGAUCACGUUGCCGCAUGGCACAGAGGGUAAAGGAGCAAUCCGCUUUCAGUUGGACACGCGUCCGAUUAGCUAGUUGGUGAGGUUACGGCCCACCAUGGCGACGAUCGGUAGCCGGACUGAGAGGUUGAGCCGCGACAUUGGGACUGAGACACGGCCCAGACUCCUACGGGAGGCAGCAGUGGGGAAUAUUGCACAGUGGGGGAAACCCUGAUGCAGCGACGCCGGGUAGAGGAAGAAGGUAUUCAGAUUGUAAUCUCCUGUUGUUGGGGAAGAUAAUGACGGUACCCAACAAGGAAGUGACGGCUAACUACGUG
rnacentral:rRNA from 1 species